rnacentral:rRNA from 1 species
GACGUAGGGCGCGAGCGUUGUCCGGAUUUAUUGGGCGUAAAGAGCUCGUAGGCGGCUUGUUGCGUCGGCUGUGAAAACCCGCGGCUUAACCGUGGGCUUGCAGCCGAUACGGGCAGGCUAGAGUUCGGUAGGGGAGACUGGAAUUCCUGGUGUAGCGGUGAAAUGCGUAGAUAUCUGGAGGAACACCGGUGGCGAAGGCGGCAUCCUGGACCACGACUGACGCUGAGUGAGCGAAAGCCAGGGGAGCAAACGGG